UUUUUAUGGUAUAAGUCAGUAAACGAGCAGACGGAUCACCUGACGGUAAGCAAUCGCCGCCGCCCAUGGCCAGCCGCAACACCAGAAGCCUUACAAGGACGUUGCCGGCCUUUUGGGGGUUAGGAAUUUACGGGUUGUUGGGGAAUCGGGGAUUGAAAAGGGGGUAAUUGGGCCUCCGAUAACCUCAUUCACACAACGAAACACAACGUGACACUUCAGAAGACUAUGAUGUGUUACUUCGACCAAUUAUCCUAUUGAAGCCAGAUGUAGCUAACUUGACAGUUACUAUACCUAAAGUUCCCGAAUGCCCUCAUGGAGCUGCUGGGGUGAAGGCGUUGGCUUGCGACGAUGAUGCGUGGCCCACCAUAGAGUUUAAGAAUCUCACAGAGUUUAAUGUACAAAGACAUGGAGACCUGAAGACAGCAGGGCACGUGUUUAUUGCCAUCCAUUGUCUAAAGACCCCUUAAGAUACAUAAAUAUCAAAUUGGAGAAACACCGUGAUUUAGACUGGUUUGAAGUAUGAAGCAAAUACAAAGAGGUGAUGUCAUAACUGGAUUUCCUUUUAACAUAAUGCGUGACAAUUUACGGGGAGCGCGGGACGUUACAAACCACCCACUCUCUAUUUUCCGAUUGAUAGGUAGUACAGUACUAAUUCAUAGCACGCAUCUUACCAAAUACAAAAAAAAAAACAUAGGUUACUUGAAUCCGUUUCCUCCAGUGUUAAGCUAUGUGUACCAAUCAUCCACAGCAACGUAGCAUUCCACAUCUCUGGUGGAAAAGCAUCCGAAAUGGUGAAUAAUUGGAAACGUUUUUGCAGUAUGGGACAGCUAGACGGAAAAUAGAGUGGACGUUGUUUGUAAACGUCCCGCGCUCCCCGUAAAGUGUCACGCAUUAUGGUAAAGAGAAAUCCAGUUAUGACAUCUCCUCUUUGCAUUUCCUUCAUGCUUCAAACCUGUCUAAAUCAUAGUCUUUCUCCAAUUUGACAUCCCUUGCCUGAUUACUGUAACCUUGACUUCAUAAUAAAAAUAUUG